rnacentral:rRNA from 1 species
GAUGAACGCUGGCGGCGUGCCUAAUACAUGCAAGUCGAGCGAACGGACGAGAAGCUUGCUUCUCUGAUGUUAGCGGCGGACGGGUGAGUAACACGUGGAUAACCUACCUAUAAGACUGGGAUAACUUCGGGAAACCGGAGCUAAUACCGGAUAAUAUUUUGAACCGCAUGGUUCAAAAGUGAAAGACGGUCUUGCUGUCACUUAUAGAUGGAUCCGCGCUGCAUUAGCUAGUUGGUAAGGUAACGGCUUACCAAGGCAACGAUGCAUAGCCGACCUGAGAGGGUGAUCGGCCACACUGGAACUGAGACACGGUCCAGACUCCUACGGGAGGCAGCAGUAGGGAAUCUUCCGCAAUGGGCGAAAGCCUGACGGAGCAACGCCGCGUGAGUGAUGAAGGUCUUCGGAUCGUAAAACUCUGUUAUUAGGGAAGAACAUAUGUGUAAGUAACUGUGCACAUCUUGACGGUACCUAAUCAGAAAGCCACGGCUAACUACGUGCCAGCAGCCGCGGUAAUACGUAGGUGGCAAGCGUUAUCCGGAAUUAUUGGGCGUAAAGCGCGCGUAGGCGGUUUUUUAAGUCUGAUGUGAAAGCCCACGGCUCAACCGUGGAGGGUCAUUGGAAACUGGAAAACUUGAGUGUAGAAGAGGAAAGUGGAAUUCCAUGUGUAGCGGUGAAAUGCGCAGAGAUAUGGAGGAACACCAGUGGCGAAGGCGACUUUCUGGUCUGUAACUGACGCUGAUGUGCGAAAGCGUGGGGAUCAAACAGGAUUAGAUACCCUGGUAGUCCACGCCGUAAACGAUGAGUGCUAAGUGUUAGGGGGUUUCCGCCCCUUAGUGCUGCAGCUAACGCAUUAAGCACUCCGCCUGGGGAGUACGACCGCAAGGUUGAAACUCAAAGGAAUUGACGGGGACCCGCACAAGCGGUGGAGCAUGUGGUUUAAUUCGAAGCAACGCGAAGAACCUUACCAAAUCUUGACAUCCUUUGACAACUCUAGAGAUAGAGCCUUCCCCUUCGGGGGACAAAGUGACAGGUGGUGCAUGGUUGUCGUCAGCUCGUGUCGUGAGAUGUUGGGUUAAGUCCCGCAACGAGCGCAACCCUUAAGCUUAGUUGCCAUCAUUAAGUUGGGCACUCUAAGUUGACUGCCGGUGACAAACCGGAGGAAGGUGGGGAUGACGUCAAAUCAUCAUGCCCCUUAUGAUUUGGGCUACACACGUGCUACAAUGGACAAUACAAAGGGCAGCGAAACCGCGAGGUCAAGCAAAUCCCAUAAAGUUGUUCUCAGUUCGGAUUGUAGUCUGCAACUCGACUACAUGAAGCUGGAAUCGCUAGUAAUCGUAGAUCAGCAUGCUACGGUGAAUACGUUCCCGGGUCU